UUGGAAGUAAAAAUCGUAACAAGGUUUCCGUAGGUGAACCUGCGGAAGGAUCAUUGUCGAAUCCUGCACGGCAGAACGACCUGAGAACAAGUUAUUAACCCAAUGCCGGGUCUGUGCCCGACCGUCCUCGGUCGACGCAAGAUCUUGGCACCCACAAACGUACCCCCGGCGCGGAAGGCGCCAAGGAACAUUAACAAGAGAGGUGCGGGAACGCGCCGCCUCAAGAGUAUAAAACAAACGACUCUCGGCAACGGAUAUCUCGGCUCUCGCAUCGAUGAAGAACGUAGCGAAAUGCGAUACUUGGUGUGAAUUGCAGAAUCCCGUGAACCAUCGAGUCUUUGAACGCAAGUUGCGCCCGAAGCCUUUUGGCCAAGGGCACGUCUGCCUGGGUGUCACGCAACAUGUCGCCCCCAAAAUCGGAGUGCAAGCCCCGGAAGGGGUGCGGAAGUUGGCCUCCCGUUGCUCGACGCUGCGGCUGGCCCAAAAUUGAGCGAUGGAGCGACGUACUCCGCGGCGCGCGGUGGUGCUGAAAAUUGCCCCUCGGGCAUCGAGUCCGGAUCGUCUCUCCAGCAUUGCUCUGCGGCCUUCAUUGAGAACACAUGCGACCCCAGGUCAGGCGGGGCUACCCGCUGAGUUUAAGCAUAUCAAUAAGCGGAGGAA
rnacentral:rRNA from 1 species